rnacentral:rRNA from 1 species
CCUACGGGAGGCAGCAGUGAGGAAUAUUGGUCAAUGGACGAGAGUCUGAACCAGCCAAGUAGCGUGAAGGAUGACUGCCCUAUGGGUUGUAAACUUCUUUUAUAUGGGAAUAAAACAGGGUAUGCAUACCCUCUUGUAUGUACCAUAUGAACAAGGAUCGGCUAACUCCGUGCCAGCAGCCGCGGUAAUACGGAGGAUCCGAGCGUUAUCCGGAAUUAUUGGGUUUAAAGGGAGCGUAGGUGGAUUGUUAAGUCAGUUGUGAAAGUUUGCGGCUCAACCGUAAAAUUGCAGUUGAAACUGGCAGUCUUGAGUACAGUAGAGGUGGGCGGAAUUCGUGGUGUAGCGGUGAAAUGCGUAGAUAUCACGAAGAACUCCGAUUGCGAAGGCAGCUCACUGGACUGCAACUGACACUGAUGCUCGAAAGUGUGGGUAGCAAACAGGAUUAGAUACCCGUGUAGUC